rnacentral:rRNA from 1 species
AUUGAACGCUGGCGGCAUGCCUUACACAUGCAAGUCGAACGGCAGCACGGGGGGUAACCCCUGGUGGCGAGUGGCGAACGGGUGAGUAAUAUAUCGGAACGUGUCCUGUAGCGGGGGAUAACCUAUCGAAAGAUGGACUAAUACCGCAUACGACCUACGGGUGAAAGCGGAGGACCGCAAGGCUUCGCACUAUAGGAGCGGCCGAUAUCGGAUUAGCUAGUUGGCGGGGUAACGGCCCACCAAGGCGACGAUCCGUAGCUGGUCUGAGAGGACGAUCAGCCACACUGGAACUGAGACACGGUCCAGACUCCUACGGGAGGCAGCAGUGGGGAAUUUUGGACAAUGGGCGCAAGCCUGAUCCAGCCAUGCCGCGUGAGUGAAGAAGGCCUUCGGGUUGUAAAGCUCUUUCGGCGGGGACGAAACGGUUCGUGCUAAUACCACGGUCUACUGACGGUACCCGCAGAAGAAGCACCGGCUAACUACGUG